CGGACCGGCGCACGGGUGAGUAACACGUAUGCAACCUGGCCGUGACAGAUGGAUAACCGGGAGAGAUCCCGCCUAAUACAACAUAAUGCCGGGAGGGGACAUCCCCUGCCGGUCAAAGGGGGCGACCCCGGUCAUGGAUGGGCAUGCGGCGCAUUAGGUAGUUGGUGGGGCAACGGCCCACCAAGCCGACGAUGCGUAGGGGUUCUGAGAGGAAGGUCCCCCACAUUGGAACUGAGACACGGUCCAAACUCCUACGGAAGGCAGCAG
rnacentral:rRNA from 1 species